rnacentral:rRNA from 1 species
CAGUAGCCGCGGUAAUACGAAGGGUACAAGCGUUAAUCGGAAUUACUGGGCGUAAAGCGUGCGUAGGCGGUGAGUUAAGUCUGCUGUGAAAUCCCCGGGCUCAACCUGGGAAUGGCAGUGGAUACUGGCUCGCUAGAGUGUGUCAGAGGAUGGUGGAAUUCCCGGUGUAGCGGUGAAAUGCGUAGAGAUCGGGAGGAACAUCAGUGGCGAAGGCGGCCAUCUGGGACAACACUGACGCUGAGGCACGAAAGCGUGUGGAGCAAACAGGAUUAGAUACCCCGGUAGUCCCUGUCUCUUAUAC